rnacentral:rRNA from 1 species
CGACCGGCGCACGGGGUGAGUAACACGGUAUCCAACCUACCGGUUAUUCCGGGAUAGCCUUUCGAAAGAAAGAUUAAUACCGGAUAGUAUAACGAGAAGGCAUCUUCUUGUUAUUAAAGAAUUUCGAUAACCGAUGGGGAUGCGUUCCAUUAGUUUGUUGGCGGGGUAACGGCCCACCAAGACAUCGAUGGAUAGGGGUUCUGAGAGGAAGGUCCCCCACAUUGGAACUGAGACACGGUCCAAACUCCUACGGGAGGCAGCAGUGAGGAAUAUUGGUCAAUGGACGAGAGUCUGAACCAGCCAAGUAGCGUGAAGGAUGACUGCCCUAUGGGUUGUAAACUUCUUUUAUAUGGGAAUAAAGUGAGCCACGUGUGGCUUUUUGUAUGUACCAUACGAAUAAGGAUCGGCUAACUCCGUGCCAGCAGCCGCGGUAAUACGGAGGAUCCGAGCGUUAUCCGGAUUUAUUGGGUUUAAAGGGAGCGUAGGCGGACUAUUAAGUCAGCUGUGAAAGUUUGCGGCUCAACCGUAAAAUUGCAGUUGAUACUGGUCGUCUUGAGUGCAGUAGAGGUAGGCGGAAUUCGUGGUGUAGCGGUGAAAUGCUUAGAUAUCACGAAGAACUCCGAUUGCGAAGGCAGCUUACUGGACUGUAACUGACGCUGAUGCUCGAAAGUGUGGGUAUCAAACAGGAUUAGAUACCCUGGUAGUCCACACAGUAAACGAUGAAUACUCGCUGUUUGCGAUAUACGGCAAGCGGCCAAGCGAAAGCAUUAAGUAUUCCACCUGGGGAGUACGCCGGCAACGGUGAAACUCAAAGGAAUUGACGGGGGC